rnacentral:rRNA from 1 species
GACCAGUAAACGAGUACAUUAAUUAUUGAAGGCAUUACAAUCAGACUAGAAUAGUCUGUUUACAGAACAAGACAUCUUAUAAAAUUGAUGGAACAUUUCAUUCGAUUCAAUCCAUACAAUAUAUUGUUCUACGGUACAUUAAGUACCUUUACAGAUAACUAAUAAUACCACCAGAAACUAGUAUAUAGUCACAGUAGUACACACACCAAAGCACAAUUUAUUCUCCAAAUUAUGAAGUACUAACAUACAGAUCUUGAGCAGUUCAAUUGCACAUGAAGCGGGCUCCUCACGCUGCAUUGUCAUUGUUCUUCUUCAUGAGGCGAGCCCAAGCUAUAGCCACCCGCACAUAAACCUUGUCAUACAGCUUGUCAAUGUUCUGAAAGUAGGCAAUCGCCCAGGUUCUCCUCGGUAACAUGGCGCAAAACACCACCCAAAGGCCGACCACAAAUCCUAUGCCCAUCCCAAGGUAGAGAUAGGAGAUAUGAUCUGCAUCUUCAUGGUCUGCACUUUGCUUUGCAUCAGUUGUACUAGUAGAGCAGUUCUUGGAUAGAGGGUAGCCACAUAGACCGGGGUUGCCGAUGUAGGUAAAGUUCAGGUUGUCGUGAACCUGCAGCUGUUGCCCGGAUGGUAUCACACCCGAUAAGUUGUUGUAUGACAGGUUCAAGUGGCCCAGAGAGAUUAGA